UGAAAAGUCUAUCAUUGCUCUUGAUGAAUUGUUUUACAAUUUCAAGGCUGGAGAAGGGUUUUCUGCCAUCAGAUCCCUCACCACGACGGACUCGAGGUUUCUGCCUUCAGAUCCUUCUCUACGGACUGUAUGCUGACAGGCUUCCCUGGGCCUGCUACCUGAGACCUGCUGCUUCCUCCCAGACUUACUCUGCGGCUUCUUCCUGGACCCUCCCAGUACCUGCACCCUCUCGUUGCCCAAGACCGGCCUCGCUGCUCCUGCCCUUCAGCCUCGGACCAUCGGAACGUCGUGCAACAGGACUACUGCCGGAUCCUGGUGGUGACUAUCCCUGCUUUACGCAAUUCUUGCUUCUUUCUAUCUUUUCUAUCGCUCGCCUUCCCUUCCCCAUCACCCCAAUCCGUAAUAGUGUCUGUCCUCUCCUUUCCUCAUCUCCCUUAUUAACAUUUGUAAUAAAC
ensembl:lncRNA